rnacentral:tRNA from 1 species
UAUUUUUGUAGUGUAUAAAACACAUAACAUUUUCAGUGUUAAAAAGCCCAGGCUAAAAAUAACC